rnacentral:rRNA from 1 species
AUUGAACGCUGGCGGCAGGCCUAACACAUGCAAGUCGAACGGUAACAGGAAACAGCUUGCUGUUUCGCUGACGAGUGGCGGACGGGUGAGUAAUGUCUGGGAAACUGCCUGAUGGAGGGGGAUAACUACUGGAAACGGUAGCUAAUACCGCAUAACGUCGCAAGACCAAAGAGGGGGACCCUCGGGCCUCUUGCCAUCGGAUGUGCCCAGAUGGGAUUAGCUUGUUGGUGGGGUAACGGCUCACCAAGGCGACGAUCCCUAGCUGGUCUGAGAGGAUGACCAGCCACACUGAAACUGAGACACGGUCCAGACUCCUACGGGAGGCAGCAGUGGGGAAUAUUGCACAAUGGGCGCAAGCCUGAUGCAGCCAUGCCGCGUGUAUGAAGAAGGCCCUCGGGUUGUAAAGUACUUUCAGCGGGGAGGAAGGGAGUAAAGUUAAUACCUUUGCUCAUUGACGUUACCCGCAGAAGAAGCACCGGCGAACUCCG